rnacentral:rRNA from 1 species
AUGAUACUCCAUAGAGUAGAGACACGGAAAAGGCGUUAGUCGAAAGUUCUGGCGCCUUAGGAGGGAUAUGCGGUCGAAUAGGAUGAUGUUGGGGUAACGGCCCAACAAGCAUGUAAAUCGAUACGGAUGGUGAGAGCAAGAGCCCGGAGAUGGAAUCUGAGACACGAGUCCAGGCCCUACGGGGCGCAGCAGGCGCGAAAACUUUACAAUGCAGGAAACUGUGAUAAGGGAACUCCGAGUGCCCGUAUACGCGGGCUGUCCAGGUGUUUAAAAAUCAUCUGAAGAAAGGGCCGGGCAAGACCGGUGCCAGCCGCCGCGGUAACACCGGCGGCUCGAGUGGUGGCCACUAUUAUUGGGCUUAAAGCGUCCGUAGCUGGACCGAUAAGUCUCUUGGGAAAUCCGCCGGCUCAACCGGCGGGCGUCUAAGGGAUACUGUUAGUCUAGGGACCGGGAGAGGUGAGAGGUACUCCGGGGGUAGGAGUGAAAUCCUGUAAUCCCCGGGGGACCACCGAUGGCGAAGGCAUCUCACCAGAACGGCUCCGACAGUGAGGGACGAAAGCUGGGGGAGCGAACCGGAUUAGAUACCCGGGUAGUCCCAGCCGUAAACUAUGCGCGUUAGGUGU